GAUGAAGAACGCAGCGAAAUGCGAUAAGUAGUGUGAAUUGCAGAAUUCAGUGAAUCAUCGAAUCUCUGAACGCACAUUGCGCCCCUUGGUAUCCCGAGGGGCAUGCCUGUUCGAGCGUCAUUUCACCACUCAAGCCUGGCUUGGUGUUGGGCGACGUCCUCUUUGGGGACGCGCCUCGAAACGCUCGGCGGCGUGGCACCGGCUUUAAGCGUAGCAGAAUCUUUCGCUUUGGAAGUCGGGGCCCCGUCUGCCGGAAGACCUGCUCGCAAGGUUGACCUCGGAUCAGGCAGGGAUACCCGCUGAACUUAAGCAUAUCAAUAAGCGGAGGA
rnacentral:misc_RNA from 1 species